rnacentral:rRNA from 5 species
GGGCGUUAAGUUGCAGGGUAUAGACCCGAAACCCGGUGAUCUAGCCAUGGGCAGGUUGAAGGUUGGGUAACACUAACUGGAGGACCGAACCGACUAAUGUUGAAAAAUUAGCGGAUGACCUGUGGCUGGGGGUGAAAGGCCAAUCAAACCGGGAGAUAGCUGGUUCUCCCCGAAAGCUAUUUAGGUAGCGCCUCGUGAAUUCAUCUCCGGGGGUAGAGCACUGUUUCGGCUAGGGGGCCAUCCCGGCUUACCAACCCGAUGCAAACUGCGAAUACCGGAGAAUGUUAUCACGGGAGACACACGGCGGGUGCUAACGUCCGUCGUGAAGAGGGAAACAACCCAGACCGCCAGCUAAGGUCCCAAAGUCAUGGUUAAGUGGGAAACGAUGUGGGAAGGCCCAGACAGCCAGGAUGUUGGCUUAGAAGCAGCCAUCAUUUAAAGAAAGCGUAAUAGCUCACUGGUCGAGUCGGCCUGCGCGGAAGAUGUAACGGGGCUAAACCAUGCACCGAAGCUGCGGCAGCGAACGUAUCACUUAAAGCGAUUCAGCGGGUUACGAUUGACGGAGCGAAGCGACGUCAAAGCGUAUACAAAGUCGAGUCGGUUUAAGGAUACGUUCGUUGGGUAGGGGAGCGUUCUGUAAGCCUGCGAAGGUGGCCUGUGAGGGUUGCUGGAGGUAUCAGAAGUGCGAAUGCUGACAUAAGUAACGAUAAAGCGGGUGAAAAGCCCGCUCGCCGGAAGACCAAGGGUUCCUGUCCAACGUUAAUCGGGGCAGGGUGAGUCGACCCCUAAGGCGAGGCCGAAAGGCGUAGUCGAUGGGAAACGGGUUAAUAUUCCCGUACUUGGUGUUACUGCGAAGGGGGGACGGAGAAGGCUAUGUUGGCCGGGCGACGGUUGUCCCGGUUUAAGCGUGUAGGUGUGUGUUCCAGGUAAAUCCGGUUCACUUUAACACUGAGGCGUGACGACGAGGCACUACGGUGCUGAAGCAACAAAUGCCCUGCUUCCAGGAAAAGCCUCUAAGCAUCAGGUAACAUCAAAUCGUACCCCAAACCGACACAGGUGGUCAGGUAGAGAAUACCAAGGCGCUUGAGAGAACUCGGGUGAAGGAACUAGGCAAAAUGGUGCCGUAACUUCGGGAGAAGGCACGCUGACACGUAGGUGAAGUGAUUUACUCAUGGAGCUGAAGUCAGUCGAAGAUACCAGCUGGCUGCAACUGUUUAUUAAAAACACAGCACUGUGCAAACACGAAAGUGGACGUAUACGGUGUGACGCCUGCCCGGUGCCGGAAGGUUAAUUGAUGGGGUCAGCGCAAGCGAAGCUCCUGAUCGAAGCCCCGGUAAACGGCGGCCGUAACUAUAACGGUCCUAAGGUAGCGAAAUUCCUUGUCGGGUAAGUUCCGACCUGCACGAAUGGCGUAAUGAUGGCCAGGCUGUCUCCACCCGAGACUCAGUGAAAUUGAACUCGCUGUGAAGAUGCAGUGUACCCGCGGCAAGACGGAAAGACCCCGUGAACCUUUACUAUAGCUUGACACUGAACAUUGAGCCUUGAUGUGUAGGAUAGGUGGGAGGCUUUGAAGUGUGGACGCCAGUCUGCAUGGAGCCGACCUUGAAAUACCACCCUUUAAUGUUUGAUGUUCUAACGUGGACCCGUAAUCCGGGUUGCGGACAGUGUCUGGUGGGUAGUUUGACUGGGGCGGUCUCCUCCUAAAGAGUAACGGAGGAGCACGAAGGUUGGCUAAUCCUGGUCGGACAUCAGGAGGUUAGUGCAAUGGCAUAAGCCAGCUUGACUGCGAGCGUGACGGCGCGAGCAGGUGCGAAAGCAGGUCAUAGUGAUCCGGUGGUUCUGAAUGGAAGGGCCAUCGCUCAACGGAUAAAAGGUACUCCGGGGAUAACAGGCUGAUACCGCCCAAGAGUUCAUAUCGACGGCGGUGUUUGGCACCUCGAUGUCGGCUCAUCACAUCCUGGGGCUGAAGUAGGUCCCAAGGGUAUGGCUGUUCGCCAUUUAAAGUGGUACGCGAGCUGGGUUUAGAACGUCGUGAGACAGUUCGGUCCCUAUCUGCCGUGGGCGCUGGAGAACUGAGGGGGGCUGCUCCUAGUACGAGAGGACCGGAGUGGACGCAUCACUGGUGUUCGGGUUGUCAUGCCAAUGGCACUGCCCGGUAGCUAAAUGCGGAAGAGAUAAGUGCUGAAAGCAUCUAAGCACGAAACUUGCCCCGAGAUGAGUUCUCCCUGAGACUUAGAGUCUCCUGAAGGAACGUUGAAGACGACGACGUUGAUAGGCCGGGUGUGUAAGCGCAGCGAUGCGUUGAGCUAACCGGUACUAAUGAACCGUGAGGCUUAACCUU